ACUGGGCGAGGUGGCGCCUGCCUGUAGUCCCAGCUACUCGAGAGGCUGAGGUGGGAGGAUCGCUUGAGCCCAGGAGUUCUGGGCUGUAGUGCGCUAUGCUGAUCCGAUGUCUGCACUAAGUUUGGCAACAAUAUGGUGACCUCCCAGGAGAAGGGGACCACCAGGUUGCCUAAGGAGGGGUGAACCGGCCCAGGUCAGAAAUGGAGCAGGUCAAAACUCCGGUGCUGAUCAGUAGGGGGAUCACACCUGUGAAUAGCCACUGCACUCCAGCCUGGGCAACAUAGUGAGACACCAUCUCU
rnacentral:SRP_RNA from 1 species